CUUUAAACCUGCAUUCUGUCUAAAUUCCUGCAGGGGGAGACUCCUUAAACCUGCAUUCUAUCUGAAUUCCAGCAGGGGGAGACUCCUUAAACCUGCAUUCUGUCUAAAUUCCUACAGGGGGAAACUCCUUAAAACUGCAUUCUGUCUAAAUUCCUGCAGGGGGAGACUUCUUAAACCUGCAUUGUGUCUAAAUUCCUGCAGGGGGAAACUCCUUAAACCUGCAUUCUAUCUGAAUUCCAGCAGGGGGAGACACCAUUAAUAUUACCAGUCUAUGGUGUGAAGCAACACACGCAACAAGAGCUUUGAUUCUGUUCAGAAAUACUACUUGAAAUACUGCGUCCCUAUCACAGCCAGGGAGUGGUCCGGACAAUAACUAGGAGACAAGCUUUGUUAGCAGCUGUUUCAAGGCACUGGUCAUCAAGUCGUCACCACUCACUUAUUGAUUUACUUUUAAUGCCACUUGAUCCAAAAAAAAAAAUAACCUGUGUUAUUACAUUUCCAAAGGUGCUACAGAAGAUGCCUCUUAACUUCAAUGGCAUUUGGUGUUUUAUUGAGUAAAUGAAGAGCAGGGGGAUAUUUUGCAUACUGUAGUAGUUGUAAACAAUGGGCUUUGUAAGUUUGAUUUGCUGCAUCUAGACACUGUCCAUGCUUACACUGGGUAAACAUGUCUGUUCUUAUAGAGACCUGUACUUAGAUUCAGUGCGUGCCUAAGAAGUCACACUUUCUCGACGUUUUAUGAUGUUUGUUACGUUUUGUCCUGUGUAAUCUGUAAGACAUUAAGACAUCCGUGCAAGAAAAAAAAAUUCACAGUGUGCUCAUGUUUUUGCAUGCAUUUAGUUUGGUAUUUUGAGACUGUUUGACAUUGUAAAAAAAAAGUCUGAAUGCUGAUUUGAAUGGGACCGUGACAAAUGUGUCUACUGCAUUUCAGGCAGUUUGAGAUUUAGUGUAUCCCAUGAAACAUAAUAUUUAUAAAUGGCCAAUUCUUAUUGUUAAAUCCCCCCCUAAUAUUUAGUUGUUGAAACACUGGAUUUUAAGACCUAGUAAUUACCACAUGGCACUUCAGCAAAUAAGAGAAGGGAAACUGGUAGAGUGUGUAGUAUUGGAUUGACUUUUAAGACAGCUGGUCUGCAAUGUAUAGUGUUCUAUUGUAGUAGUUUCAGGUCCACUAUUUCCAACAGGAACUAUUUUCGAUCAAAGGUAUGCUUUAUUUCUAAGUGUAGACUCCUGCAGCUUAGUUGCGAUGGCUGGGACUCCAGAUUCCUCUCACAACACGGCGUUGUGCUGUUACCUUUUUUUUUUUUAAACCUCAAAAUAUCGUCUAACAGGUUUAGCAGGUUUCACUUAAAGGGAAUGACGUGUUUUACCCUCAACCAUCAUCAUUGCCGUCAGAACUGUUCUCCUCUCCCUGACUCAUUAGUUU